rnacentral:ncRNA from 2 species
CUUAGUGGCCUUGCCGACGGUCCCGGUGGGCGAGAGCCUCCGGGUGAAAAGGGAAUGCGGUCUGGACAGCGGUGCUGUCCGAUGCCGCAGCUGCCCCCGCAACUGUAGGCGGCGAGCCCUCGCCAAGAUGCCACUGGCGUUAGUGCCAUCUCUUUAGAGGUGGAGCGGCCGGGAAGGCGGCGGGGGGCGGCGGACGGCGUCAUGCGCCGGAUCGCCGGAACGCCGCGAGCCAGGAGACCUGCCGCCGGCCGAACGAUCGG